UUUUUUUUUUUUUUGUCUUUUUGUCUUUUCUAGGGCCGCACCUGCAGCAUAUGGAGGUUCCCAGGCUAGGGGUCCAAUCGGAGCUGUAGCUGCCAGCCUACACCACAGCCACAGCAACUCAGGAUCCGAGCCGCAUCUGUGACCCACACCACAGCUCACGACAAUGCCGGAUCCUUAACCCACUGAGUGAGGCCAGGGAUCGAACCUGCAACCUCGUGGUUCCUAGUCGGAUUCGUUAACCACUGAGCCACAAUGGGAACUCCAGGACCACAUCAUUUCUUGACCUGAUGGCUGCAGUGGUCUCCUGGUCUCAGUGUUACUUUCCUCCCAAUCAUCCUCCAAACUGAGACACAAAGAGCUUUCUAAAGAGCACAUCUCACUCACCAAACCCCUUGUAAUCUGUCAAAUUAAAAAUGCGUAAGUGGUUCUCCUUCAAGAUAAGAUCCAAUUCUUUGGCUCCUGCCUACCUUUAAGCUUAGCACCAAGCAAGUUCCUGCCUCCUGGCCACACCGAAUCACUUAGCAGUCUCCCAAAAGCAACAGCUUUUACAUCUGUGCCUUGGCACAUGUUGCCUCUGACUGCUAACUCUUGUCCCAACUUUACUAGGCUGCAAAGACUUUCCCAGAGCCUUCCCAGACACCUAUGGCCUGGAUGUCAUGCCCUUCCCGUGUGUUCAAGGGCAGGAGCCCCCUAUGAACGGUGGACUAUACUGAGACUGCUAUAUUUGCUGAGAUCAAACGGUAGUUAAUAAUCUUUAUACAGAGACUAUAACCAAAUAUAAUCAGCUAGCAUAACAGGCACUCAGUAAACGGAUUUCAAAGAAUGUAGGAUGAAUAAAUAAUUUGGCUUGAAAUUUGCAGCUAGUAUAAUGGCUGUAGCACCUAAAGGAUCUGCGUCAAAUUGCAUUUAAUGAGAACUUGGGAGUAAUAUAUUUCUUGAUGGUUUUAAGUGCUGAUAAAGGGCCAAAGAAUGGAACAGUCUCUAGGCCUUAAUAACGAAGUUAUCAUUUACGCUUAAAAGAGCUCAUGUACCCUCGAAGGCCUUGGCUGCAAAGGCUGUCUUGUUCAUCUCCGCAUACCUGACACGGUAUCAUUCACGGGGUCAGACGAAAGCCUGAUGAAUGAGAGAUUAUAAAGAAACUCACAGAAGCAACUCGAGCCUAUCAAAUUAGCAAUUUCUAAUUUCAUGACUAGCCUAGAUUCAGCUUACCUACAAGCAGUGUUACUGAGGGCAGACUAGGAUUUCCACGAAGUUUUCAGCUGUGGGUAUAAGAAUUAUAGGGAAAGCAAUGGAAAUAAACAUACAAUUCUGGUUCCAAAUUCACCCAGACAUUUAAUAAUGGUGUGAUCAGUGUCCAAACCAAUUAAGCACUCUGCUUAUAAACAUCUUCAUAUGUAAGAUCACACAUGAACUAAACACAUAAGUUCAUGUAUAAGCAUCUUCAUAUAUAAGUAAUAUACCUACUUCACAGGGUUAUUGUGGGAAUCAAAUAAGAUAAUACAUAAACCCAACAGGAUACAAAUACAUUAGUUAUUCCCAUUGUUCACUGUGAAUAAAAAAAUAAAUAUUUUAUGUAUUACUUUAUUAAAACAAGCCCAUGAGGCAAAUAAAACAGGAAUUAAUAUUCCCACUUACAAUUUUUUAAACCAGUACUAGAGAAUCUAAGUGAUUUUCCCAAGACCACUCACUCAUGCAAUUAGUAGGUAGCCAAGUUCUUUAGGGUCAGGUAUAAUGCUGUGAUUCUCUCCUUUUUAUUUUUACUUUUUUGCUUUUUGCUUUUUAGGGCCGUACCUCGGCAUUUGUAGGUUCCAGGCUAGGGGUUCAAAUCAGAUCUUUAGCUGCUGGCCUAUGCCACAGCAAAGGCAGCUUGGGAUCCGAGUCGCAUCUGCAAACUACACCACAGCUGUCAGCAACGCCAGAGCCUUAACCCACUGAUCAAGGCCAGGGAUCGAACCCGCAUCCUCAUGGAUCCUAAUCGGGUUCAUAACUGCUGAGCCACGACGCGAACUCCCUGGGAUGCUCUUAGUGUUUCUUACAAAUCUUACUAGUGCCUAACUAUAAAAGGCCCUACAACCAAAGAAAGAGACUAUAGCUGAGAAAGCAUAGGUCUUUAGGAGAUGAGGGGUUGAUGAACAAAUAAAGCGUUUCAAUUAAUUGCUGUCUGGCAAAAGAAUAACAGUUUUCUUAGUGGACCCAGAAUAACAGUAACUAUAAGAGACAGUAUAAAGUUUUUACAGUCAGGGAAAGGUCCCCAAUGUCAUAAGUUCUGCUUUAACAAGAAAAUUCUAAUAUUAAAAGCUGUUGGGUUGCCAUGGUAACAAUCUAUUUGUAAUCAUGAUGCUGGUGGUAUUCAGUUAUAUUUCUCUCAAGGAAAAGUAAACUAGAUGUAGCCAAGGAAUUUAAUAAAAGUAUCUGCCGGACCAGAAGCCAAGAUAUGACCAUUUUUAGGCAAUACGACAGAAUUUAAAUACACAGCAGGGGACCCUCAGGUUACCAUACCAGUUCCAUCAAUAAAAUUAAAAGAUUUUGACCUUGACACCAAUACAAGGUAUAGCUAUAUUAUCUGGAAAACCCAAUUCUCUGAGCAAGAAAAAUAAAUCAUUAAACAACUGAGAUGACAGCCAAGAAACAAGAAAGUCCGAAUUCAUCAAAAGGAGGACAAAAUCAAUCCUCAAAGGAAAUAUGAAUUGUAAAGACUAAAUUUCUCACAGAAAUCUCCAAGGGUUCAUUUCAGUGUUCCGUUUGUGUGUGUGUGUAGAUGUAUAUAUUGGGAGGUGUAUUUUGAUUUAACCUUCUCCUUUUAUCUAGACAACGUCAGAAGGACAUAUUCAAAAUAAACUGAUACUACACAAAAAGGGAAGGAAGUUACUGGUUUUAAUUAGACCAUUCUGAAGUCUGUACAUGCAGCCUACUUAGGCAGACAGGGACAAUUUCUACACAAUCAGCCAAGCUUCAGCCAUGACUAUGAAAAUCAUAUAAGCUUUUCUAGUACUUACUUCUACAAAAAUCCAAGAUAGGGUAAUAUAUUCCCCACAAUUUGAGCUGUGAACAAAUUGCUUCUUUUCUAUUUGUAAUGAUUUUUCAUAGCAGUAUAUGCAUGCUCAGUGUCAUCAAAGAAACCAGAAUAAAAAUUACGCUCCCUCUAUUUCAACAAUAAACUGGCUUUGUAAGAAAAUAUUGACAUUCAUAAUAGAAGAAAAUUUUUCCUCAUUGGCCAACUUGUUCCCUCACUUAUAUAGUUAAUGCAGACAUAUAUAAAAGUUUUGUUUUGAUAAUUAGUAUAUGUAUCAUUAUAACAUAUAUAACAUCUACUUCUACACAUACGUAUAUUUACAUAUAAAAAUGACUAGUUUGUUUUCUGAAAUACAAUCCUGAAAACAACAUGUAAUCAGAUUUUCCAUAAAGGAAGUCAUGUUUUCCUUCUACUUUCAAUAUAAAAUUAUAUUACUGUUCCCCAAUCUCUCUGAAAAACAUUGGCUAAAGACACUUUUUUACUGAUUUUUUCUAUUUUUUUAAUCUGUAUUUUAUUGAUUUCCUCUCUGAUCUUUUUUUUUUUUUUUUUUUGUCCUUUUUAUGGCCAAACCUGCAGCACAUGGGGGUUCCUGGGCUAGAGGUCAAAUCAGAGCUGCAGCUGCCAGCAUAUGCCACAUCCACAGCAACACCGGAUCUGAGCUGCACCUGCGACUUACACAACAGCUUGAGGCAACACUGGAGCCUUAACCCACUGAGCAAGGCCAGGGAUCGAACUCGCAUCCUCAGAGAGACAGUACUGGUUCUUAACUCCCCGAGCCACAACGGGAACUCCUCCUUUCUGAUCUUUAUUAUUUCCUUGCUUCUGCUGACUUUAGGUUUUGUUUGUUUUGUUUUGUUUUUUCUAAUUCUUUUAGGUGGUAGGUUAGGUUGAUGAUUUGAGAUUUUUCUUCUCUUUUGAGGAAGGCUCCUAUCGCUAUGCACUUCCCUCUAACAACUGCUUUUUCGGCAUCCCAUAGAUUUUGUAUGGUUUUGUUUUCACUGCCAUUUGUCUCAAGGUAUUUUUUAGUUUUCUUUUUUGAUGUCCUUGUUGACCAACUGGUGUUUUAAUAACAUGUUGUUCGGUCUCCAUGUAGUCAAUUUUUUUCUCAUUUCUUUUCCUGUGGUUGAUUUCUAGUUUCAUGUCAUUGUGGUCAGAGAAGAAGCUUGAAAAAAUUUCUAUAUUCUUAAAUUUGCUGAGGUGAGUUUUGUGCCCCAGUAUGUGGUCAAUCCUAGACAAUGUUCCAUGUGCACUUAAAAGAAUGUAUAUUCUGGUUUUCUUAGAUGUAAUGUCCUGAAAAUAUCAAUUAAGCCUAACUGUUCUGUUGUGUCAUUCAGAAUCUGUUGCCUUAUUGAUUUUCUGUCUAGAGGGUCUGUCCAUUGAUGCGGAUGGGGUGUUAAAGCCUCCUACUAUUAUUGUAUUCCCAUCAAUUUCUCCUUUUACGUCUGUUAGUAUUUGUUGUGUCUUUGGGUGCUCCUAUAUUAGAGGCAUAUAUAUUGAUGAGUAUAAUAUCCUCUUCUUAAAUUGAUUCUUCUCUAAAGACAGUCUUUUAAAAUCACAGAUAAGAUCACAAAAAAACUUUAUAAAAUCUACUCUCUUAAAUUUUAUUAAAUUCAGACAAAAUACUUACAACUUAGCAUCUAUAGCGAGCACAAACUACAUACUUUUGCUUACUGUUCGUAAAGAUUAUGGAGAUGCUAAAUUCAAAGAUUUCUAGGCUGAGGAACUUAAAUGGAAGAUAACAACAUUAAAUGGCAUAGGAACUAUAUGAGUGAGUACAAAUGUGAGGGAGACUGCUAGAUAAGGAGCUCCUGUCGUGGCUCAGUGGUUAACGAAUCCAACUAGGAACCAUGAGGUUGUGGGUUUGAUCCCCGACCUUGCUCAGUGGGUUAAGGAUCCGGCAUUGCCGUGAGCUGUGACUUAGGUUGCAGACUCGGCUCAGAUCCCCGCUGCUGUGGCUGUGGCGAAGGCCGAUGGCUACAGCUUUGAUUAGCCUGGGAACCUCCAUAUGCCGCGGGUACAGCCCUAGAAAAAGACGGAAAAAAAAAAAAAGAAAGAAAGAAAGAAAAGAAACGGCUAAAUAAGCAAUAAGCCUCCAUGUUUCAAAAAGAUUGGAUAAUGAGCUGGGAAUAUGUGAUAAAGAGUUGGAAGUUGGAUAUACUGGGUUGGAACUCUGUAGGACUGUCUGCAAUAGAUUCAGAGAUUCACUCACUGGUGAAUAAGCAAUAACUAAAUCUACAAAAGAGGAUGGCAUCUCUGAGGGAAGACUUGUGAGAAAGAGUAAUAAAGAGAACAAGGAUUGGAGCUCCCACAGUGGCAUAGUGGGUUAAGAAUCUAAUUGCAGCAGCGGUGGCCACCACAGAGGCACAGGUUCUGCCCCCAGCCCAGUGCAGUGGGCUAAGGAUCCAGCAUUGCUGUAGGUCACAGCAGUGGCUUGGAUUCAAUCCAUGACCUGGGGACUUCCAUAUGCUGCAGGUGUGGCAAAAGAAAAAGGAGAGAGAGAGAGAGAAACUAGAAUAAACCUUGAGGGAGCCCAAAUAUUUAUAAAGGUCAGAAUUUAAAACAAAAAAGGCGGCAGAAGUAUCUUGAAAGUCAUGAACGGAGGGUUUCAAGAAGAGGACAAUCAACAAAACACAGAAGCAGAAGAGGCAUACUGGAAUCUACAUUUAGAAUGUGACUUGGGGAGUUCCCGUUGUGGCGCAGCAGAAACAAAUCCAACUAGGAACCAUGAGGUUGUGGGUUCGAUCCCUGGCCUCACUCAGUGGGUUGAGGAUCCAGCAUUGCCGUGAGCUGUAGUGUAGGCUGCAGAGACGCGGCUCGGAUCUGGUGUGGCUGUGGCAUAAGCCGGCAGCUGUACCUCUGAUUGGACCCCUAGCCUGGAAACUUCCACAUGCUGCUAGUGCAGCCUUAAAAAUAAAAAAAAAAAUAAAAAAUAAAAUAAAAGAAUGUGACUUGGUAUAUCAGUGAAAUUAUUUUCAAUACAAUAGUUGAGGCAGAAUCUAGCCUACAAAGGGUGAAUUAAUGAGAAAGGGAAACAACGCAUCCAACAUUGCUAUGUUCGAUGCUCUGAAUAAUACAAUCAGAACCCUUAACAACUACAAGUGUUUCAGAAUGACAUAAUAACCACUCUUAUGUGAAAGAAACAAUAGCAGGAUUGUUUUCAAGGCGAAAACGUGAAAUUACUGACUUGUAUUAAGUAGCAGCAACUCAUCCUUUUUUUUUUUCUGAAAUGCUAGCAAUAUAAAUACAUUUCUUGGCAAAAGUAAGAUUAUUUUCUCAUGCAUCAAAUGUCAAAAUUUUGUUGAUUUUUUUUCUGAUAGUUAAAUACCAUAGAUCCACUGCAUCAGUUAAAGGAUACUAUGAAUCUAUCUGGGAUUAGUAAUAUUAUAAUUAAAUUAAAAGAGUUUUCCUUCCAAGACGUGUUCUCGUCAUUCAUCCUUGUCUCACAGGGCAACAUUCUUCAUGUUUUAAAGGGAGACAGCUUUACAUUUUGGUUCCUGUUAACAGGAU
rnacentral:lncRNA from 1 species